rnacentral:rRNA from 1 species
GGACCUGUGUUCCACGCUGUCGGUUCGCCGCCCGUCGGUGUCAACUGGCAUGUCCUGUGGAACGUCCUGCCGGUGGCGGUCCGGGCUUUCGGCUUGCGUAAGGGCUCACGCCCGAAGCAGGCCGAACAGUACCGGCCGCCGGUCCAAUCCCGCCACGGUGCUCUUCACCGAGUGUCGAGGUGGGCCGGCACGUUUACUUUGAACAAAUUAGAGUGCUUAAAGCAGGCUGGUGUCCGCCUGAAUACUGUGUGCAUGGAAUAAUAGAAUAGGACCUCGGUUCUAUUUUGUUGGUUUUCGGAACCCGAGGUAAUGAUUAAUAGGGACAGGCGGGGGCAUUCGUAUUGCGACGUUAGAGGUGAAAUUCUUGGAUCGUCGCAAGACGAACCUAAGCGAAAGCAUUUGCCAAGUAUGUUCUCGUUAAUCAAGAACGAAAGUUAGAGGUUCGAAGGCGAUCAGAUACCGCCCUAGUUCUAACCAUAAACGAUGCCAGCCAGCGAUCCGCCGAAGUUCCUCCGAUGACUCGGCGGGCAGCUUCCGGGAAACCAAAGCUUUUGGGUUCCGGGGGAAGUAUGGUUGCAAAGCUGAAACUUAAAGGAAUUGACGGAAGGGCACCACCAGGAGUGGAGCCUGCGGCUUAAUUUGACUCAACACGGGAAACCUCACCAGGCCCGGACACCGGAAGGAUUGACAGAUUGAGAGCUCUUUCUUGAUUCGGUGGGUGGUGGUGCAUGGCCGUUCUUAGUUGGUGGAGCGAUUUGUCUGGUUAAUUCCGAUAACGAACGAGACUCUAGCCUGCUAACUAGGCGAUUCCGGUACCCACAAUAGUGUUACCGGCGAUUCAAUUUCUUCUUAGAGGGACAGGCGGCUCCUAGCCGCACGAGACUGAGCAAUAACAGGUCUGUGAUGCCCUUAGAUGUCCUGGGCCGCACGCGCGCUACACUGAAGGAAUCAGCGUGUCUUCCCUGGCCGACAGGCCCGGGUAACCCGUUGAACCUCCUUCGUGCUAGGGAUUGGGGCUUGCAAUUGUUCCCCAUGAACGAGGAAUUCCCAGUAAGCGCGAGUCAUAAGCUCGCGUUGAUUACGUCCCUGCCCUUUGUACACACCGCCCGUCGCUACUACCGAUUGAAUGAUUUAGUGAGGUCUUCGGACUGGUGCGCGGCGAUCGGCCUAUACUGCCGGCCGCCGAUGUUGCCGGAAAGAUGACCAAACUUGAUCAUUUAGAGGAAGUAAAAGUCGUAACAAGGUUUCC